CGCAUCUGUCGUAUGGGUGCGAAUCUGCGUCCCAAAAGCGCUUGUCAGACGAUGUAAACACAUGUAGCUGGUAUUCCCGAUGAUGGCGAUUUUUUGAUGAUUUAUCAGAGUAAUUUGAAAAGUGUCACACUUAUUUGAGGAAAAAAAGGCUUGAAGAAGAUCUGGUACCUGCUUUGUUUUGGGAUUUACAUAAAUGAUGUUCUUAUUGAUGACAAUUUACCUGCACACUUAUACUGGAGUCAUAUAUUAAAGAUGAAAUGAUGAAAAGAAAAACAUGAACUUUAAGAACAGGAAGACUAUGUUUUUGAAGAGAGAAGAGGAGCAGAACUAAGAAGUCAUACAAUAAACACAUUGAAAUCAUAUAAAUAAAUUGCAAUUUUGAGCUUGCAUGCAUAUGUGUCAGGUUUAAAUGAUGUCACAGAAUUUUUUUUCCAGAAAUUUCUUUUAUCUUCUUGAAUCAAUAAAACUAAUGGACCAAAUUAGUUGUUUUUAUAUUCAUAAUUUUGUUUGAGAAGUGAAAGGGGACAUUUACUUAAGUUAAUAUAUCAAAUUGCUAUAUGCUGCAUGUAUUAAGGAUGUAAAUGGGUGGGAGAAAGAGAGAGUCUCUGAUAUAGGAGAAUUCAGACUUAUUUAAAUUCUAUAUAUUGAUGUGAACCAAAAUGUAUUUUGAUCGC